rnacentral:rRNA from 1 species
ACGGAGGGUGCAAGCGUUAAUCGGAAUUACUGGGCGUAAAGCGCACGCAGGCGGUUUGUUAAGUCAGAUGUGAAAUCCCCGGGCUCAACCUGGGAACUGCAUCUGAUACUGGCAAGCUUGAGUCUGGUAGAGGGGGGUAGAAUUCCAGGUGUAGCGGUGGAGUGCGUAGAGAUGUGGAGGAAUACCGGUGGCGAAGGCGGCCCCAUGGAAGAAGACUGACUCUCAGGUGCGAUAGCGUGGGGAGGCUAGAG